UGUCUGAGGUACUUAAAGAGACAGAUCUGAACCUCAUUUAUACACUUGUUUUCCUUGGUGUUUUCUGAUACUGCAAAGGACCAGAAGAAAACACAGUUCAUAACAGCAUGGAUACAAAAUCACAAGUUUACAUGAGUAGCCACAAACUCAAAUGCCUUCAAGGACCUGGCAGUUGAUGCAAAGUUGUGAAGCAACAAGAAGCUACGAUGGAGUGCUAGCAAAAUAAAGAAGUGCCAGGCCAAAUUUUUCAGGAGCAGACUUUAAUGGAGGAAUUUACCUUGGCUCAUUCAGCUGGCGCUGCUGCUCUCAGACAAUAUCAUCACUGAGAGGCACCUCUGAUAGGGUGAAAUAACUCUGGCACCAAUCAAUCAACCGGCCUAACCAACCAGCAGGCAUUUAUUGGGCACACACUAAGCACGCAUUAGAC